UUCUACAACAGUAUCUUUCUUGCUUA
rnacentral:piRNA from 1 species